ensembl:lincRNA
GAGGCAAGCCAGUAAAGAACAUCCCUCCAUNUCAACUUGAGUCUAUCUGGAAUGAACUACAAUCCAGAAUUGGAAGGCUCACCUGUGAUCCUAAUCUGGAGGCUGGGAGAUACAAGUUUCUGACAAUUUUGGCAUGGACAUCUUGAGAAAUAGUGACUUAUGUAUGCCAGAAGAUUAAGACAGGGAGAUCUCUGAGUUCAAAGUCAUCUGGGACAAAGCAAGUCCCAGAUCCAGGCGUGUUGACAAACACCUUUAAUCUGGGCCACACCUUCUGCUGGAGACCUACAUAAGGACAUUGGAAGAAGGAAGAUUUACUCUCUUCUUUGCCUGCUUGCGGUGUGGGACUGAGCAACUGCUAGAUCCUUGGACUUCAUUCACAUCUGCUGUUGACCAUUGUUGGAGAGCUGGACUACAGACUACCUUUGAACUGCAUUGAAAAUUAGGAAUAUCUGCCACACAAAAAAAAAAAAAAAAGAAGAAGUUCAAAGAUGCUCAGGGAGUAGUUCCUCCAUCCACAAAUUAUGCAGUCGAGUUUCCUCGAAUUUGGGGUCAAUACACACAGAGUGCAAUGGAUGAACCUCGCUCUGGAGAAAUCACCUGCAUAAUCAUGGUAUUUCCCCUUCCAGGAUUUAUACAGAAGCAGUCUUCCAAAUUCUGAAACCUGAUGCCCAUCACAUACUUUGGGCUGAGAAAAGAAAAUCAAACAUUUGUUUGAUGCAGCCUCCCUCCCUCAGCCUUCAAGCAGGCUGAUCCAGACUUUGACCUUGCUGCCGCUAAGAAGGCGAUUACCUAGGGUAGAGCCUUCUGACCUUGAUGGCUCUAUUUGCUCUUCUCCUUGACUCUGCUUCCAGCUGAAAGGUCCCUGAGACAGUCCAAAGACACACCCUGUAGAUCGCCUAAGGGCUGGCUCCAGGUACCAAGAAUGGGUUGGCAGGGGAUGGGCCUUCCCCCUUAUAAGCACACUCUCUUAAUAAACUCGGGGGCCUUG